CCAACUUUUUUCCUGAUGUCUACUUCAAAGCCAUGAUAUAUGAUCAAGAAUAGACCUAAAGUUCCCAAAAACAACUAAUUCAUCAUAAGCUAACAUUAAUGAAUAGUUUAAAAGCAUGCAAGAGUUCAAGAAUCCCACUUCUUUCUCAUAUCCACCAUUCAACCAACCCCUUGUAUACUUUGUAGUACAAUGAUCAGUAUGCUUUAUUGCAAGCUGGGAUUAGUUUAGUUUUGAACAUAAUUGUAAUUAUCAGGGUACUGUCACUCUUGAAAGAUCAAAUUUUUUUCCUUGGCAUGUCUUGUCUUGGCGAUGGAUUCCUCUGUUAGUAAGCAGAGUAGCCC
rnacentral:misc_RNA from 1 species